rnacentral:rRNA from 1 species
UACGAAGGGGGCUAGCGUUGCUCGGAAUCACUGGGCGUAAGGGGUGCGUAGGCGGGUCUUUAAGUCAGGGGUGAAAUCCUGGAGCUCAACUCCAGAACUGCCUUUGAUACUGAGGAUCUUGAGUUCGGGAGAGGUGAGUGGAACUGCGAGUGUAGAGGUGAAAUUCGUAGAUAUUGGGAAGAACACCGGUGGCGAAGGCGGCGACCUGGUCCGAUACUGACGCUGAGGCGCGAAAGCGUGGGGAGCAAACAGG